UACGUAGGUGGCAAGCGUUGUCCGGAUUUACUGGGCGUAAAGCGCACGUAGGCGGAUCGAUCAGUCAGGGGUGAAAUCCCAGAGCUCAACUCUGGAACUGCCUUUGAUACUGUCGAUCUGGAGUAUGGAAGAGGUGAGUGGAAUUCCGAGUGUAGAGGUGAAAUUCGUAGAUAUUCGGAGGAACACCAGUGGCGAAGGCGGCUCACUGGUCCAUUACUGACGCUGAGGCACGAAAGCUAGGGUAGCAAACGGG
rnacentral:rRNA from 1 species